rnacentral:rRNA from 11 species
GUACAUAGCCACCUAAAUAUGCCAAGGCAGUGUAUCCCAUCUGAUCUUGGGAGCUAAGCAGUAUCAGCUCUCACUAAUACUUGAAUGGGAGACUACCAAAGAAUACCAGAUGCUGUAUUUC